ensembl:snoRNA SNORD8 small nucleolar RNA, C/D box 8
UCCCAAUGAUGAGUUGCCAUGCUAAUACUGAGCCACCAGGUAGGGCAGUAUUGCCCUAGUUUGGGUGCCAGUGAGUUUAACAACACUUCUCACAUGAAUACCUGAGGGGC